GCUGGGAACCCCUUUCGGCAUCGGCUGUGAACUCGGCAACAGACUCAUCCAUUGAUGGAGUUAGUAUCCUCGUGAUUCAGUUCCUCCUCAGUAAGACCGUCAGACCGGAGCCAAGUUUUCAACACAUCUUUUUAGGAAGGGCACUUCAUAUCCAAACCAUAACUGAAAAAUCUGGAAGGGCUUCUUCCUCAGAAACAGUAAGUUAUCUACUUCCAUAA
rnacentral:lncRNA from 1 species